UACGGAGGGUGCAAGCGGUUAUCCGGAUUCACUGGGUUUAAAGGGUGCGUAGGUGGGCAGUUAAGUCAGUGGUGAAAUCUCCGGGCUCAACCCGGAAACUGCCAUUGAUACUAUCUGUCUUGAAUAAUCGUGGAGGUAAGCGGAAUAUGUCAUGUAGCGGUGAAAUGCUUAGAUAUGACAUAGAACACCAAUUGCGAAGGCAGCUUACUACCCGAAUAUUGACACUGAGGCACGAAAGCGUGGGGAUCAAACAGG
rnacentral:rRNA from 1 species